CUCUUAUGGAGAGUUUGAUCCUGGCUCAGGACGAACGCUGGCGGCGUGCCUAAUACAUGCAAGUCGAGCGGAUGACGGGGAGCUUGCUCCCCUGAUUCAGCGGCGGACGGGUGAGUAACACGUGGGCAACCUGCCUGUAAGAUCGGGAUAACUCCGGGAA
rnacentral:rRNA from 1 species